rfam:Schistosoma rodhaini strain Burundi genome assembly, scaffold: SROB_scaffold0005730
AUCCAGCUGACGAGUCCGAAAUAGGACGAACGCGCUUUCUGGAU